rnacentral:rRNA from 1 species
AGAGUUUGAUCCUGGCUCAGGACGAACGCUGGCGGCGUGCUUAACACAUGCAAGUCGAGCGGAAAGGCUCCUUUCGGGGGUACUCGAGCGGCGAACGGGUGAGUAACACGUGAGUAAUCUGCCCUUCACUUUGGGAUAGCUCCCGGAAACGGGGAUUAAUACCGGAUACGACCAUGGGUCGCAUGAUCUUGUGGUGGAAAGGUUUUUCGGUGGGGGAUGUGCUCGCGGCCUAUCAGCUUGUUGGUGGGGUAAUGGCCUACCAAGGCUUCGACGGGUAGCCGGCCUGAGAGGGUGACCGGCCACACUGGGACUGAGACACGGCCCAGACUCCUACGGGAGGCAGCAGUGGGGAAUAUUGGACAAUGGGCGGAAGCCUGAUCCAGCAACGCCGCGUGAGGGAUGACGGCCUUCGGGUUGUAAACCUCUUUCAGCACCGACGAAGCUGUUCUUGCCUUCGGGUUGGGGUGGUGACGGUAGGUGCAGAAGAAGGACCGGCCAACUACGUGCCAGCAGCCGCGGUAAUACGUAGGGUCCGAGCGUUGUCCGGAAUUAUUGGGCGUAAAGGGCUCGUAGGCGGUUUGUCGCGUCGGGAGUGAAAUCACCGGGCUUAACUCGGUGCUUGCUUUCGAUACGGGCAGACUGGAGGCAUGCAGGGGAGAACGGAAUUCCUGGUGUAGCGGUGAAAUGCGCAGAUAUCAGGAGGAACACCGGUGGCGAAGGCGGUUCUCUGGGCAUGUCCUGACGCUGAGGAGCGAAAGUGUGGGGAGCGAACAGGAUUAGAUACCCUGGUAGUCCACACCGUAAACGUUGGGCGCUAGGUGUGGGAUCCAUUCCACGGGUUCCGUGCCGUAGCUAACGCAUUAAGCGCCCCGCCUGGGGAGUACGGCCGCAAGGCUAAAACUCAAAUGAAUUGACGG